CGUGAGUCGUGACGCGCUAGGAGCUUGUCAAGGUUUUAUCACAAAAAAUGCCAAAGAGUCAGAAGUCCGUACAUACGGAACACUACAAAAUUAGGAGAAAGAGUCCUCUCAGUUGUAGGAGCUGCCGAAAUCACGGAAUAAUCGUUCAUAUUAAAGGUCAUAAACAUGACUGUGUUCAUAAAGACUGCACGUGUAAUUUAUGUAUGGUGCCUGCUGAAGAAAGACGUCACACGGCUGCAAGAAUAGCAUUAUAUAGAGAAAAUCAACGUUUAUUAGAAUCAUAAGAUGAAUUGCAAAACCACAUGCACAUGGAAAAAAAAGCCAAGUAACAAAGAUAUUCUUUUAACAUUUCUUCCAAUCCACCCCACAAAGUUGUAGCUGAUUUACCACGAACGUAUGUUAAAAAUCCAACAUCAAUUCCGCCGAAUAUCCAGCUGCUCGUAAAAAUAUUUCCAAACCAACGUCCUGAUUUGCUCGAAAUGAUCUUUGGACGUAACAGUGAUGACUUCAUGUACACCAUCAAGUACAUUGAUGGUCUAAUAAAAGAUGCUGAAUUACUUCCACGACCAUCAAGAAGCUUUCCACUCACCAAUACCGGUCAAUGUUCAUACGGCUUUAUACCAACCAGUUCUUUCAACAACCCUCACCACUAUCAAAGGCAUGAACACACCCAAUUUUAACAUUUAAGGAUUGAAAAUCAUUUUGUACGAGAUAUUUUAUUUUAUUUAUUUACGGGAAUUAUACUUUAGUUAUUUGUGCAUGCAAAACAAA